rnacentral:rRNA from 1 species
AUUGAACGCUGGCGGCAGGCUUAACACAUGCAAGUCGAGCAGAAACGAUGGUAGCUUGCUACCAGGCGUCGAGCGGCGGACGGGUGAGUAAUACUUAGGAAUCUACCUAGUAGUGGGGGAUAGCUCGGGGAAACUCGAAUUAAUACCGCAUACGACCUACGGGAGAAAGGGGGCAGUUUACUGCUCUCGCUAUUAGAUGAGCCUAAGUCGGAUUAGCUAGAUGGUGGGGUAAAGGCCUACCAUGGCGACGAUCUGUAGCUGGUCUGAGAGGAUGAUCAGCCACACCGGGACUGAGACACGGCCCGGACUCCUACGGGAGGCAGCAGUGGGGAAUAUUGGACAAUGGGGGAAACCCUGAUCCAGCCAUGCCGCGUGUGUGAAGAAGGCCUUUUGGUUGUAAAGCACUUUAAGCAGUGAAGAAGACUCCGUGGUUAAUACCCACGGACGAUGACAUUAGCUGCAGAAUAAGCACCGGCUAACUCUGUGCCAGCAGCCGCGGUAAUACAGAGGGUGCAAGCGUUAAUCGGAAUUACUGGGCGUAAAGGGAGCGUAGGUGGCUCUAUAAGUCAGAUGUGAAAUCCCCGGGCUUAACCUGGGAACUGCAUCUGAAACUGUAGAGCUAGAGUAUGUGAGAGGAAGGUAGAAUUCCAGGUGUAGCGGUGAAAUGCGUAGAGAUCUGGAGGAAUACCGAUGGCGAAGGCAGCCUUCUGGCAUAAUACUGACACUGAGGCUCGAAAGCGUGGGUAGCAAACAGGAUUAGAUACCCUGGUAGUCCACGCCGUAAACGAUGUCUACUAGUCGUUGGGUCCCUUGAGGACUUAGUGACGCAGCUAACGCAAUAAGUAGACCGCCUGGGGAGUACGGCCGCAAGGUUAAAACUCAAAUGAAUUGACGGGGGCCCGCACAAGCGGUGGAGCAUGUGGUUUAAUUCGAUGCAACGCGAAGAACCUUACCUGGUCUUGACAUAUCUAGAAUCCUGCAGAGAUGCGGGAGUGCCUUCGGGAAUUAGAAUACAGGUGCUGCAUGGCUGUCGUCAGCUCGUGUCGUGAGAUGUUGGGUUAAGUCCCGCAACGAGCGCAACCCUUGUCCUUAGUUACCAGCGGGUUAAGCCGGGAACUCUAAGGAUACUGCCAGUGACAAACUGGAGGAAGGCGGGGACGACGUCAAGUCAUCAUGGCCCUUACGACCAGGGCUACACACGUGCUACAAUGGUAGGUACAGAGGGCAGCUACACAGCGAUGUGAUGCGAAUCUCAAAAAGCCUAUCGUAGUCCAGAUUGGAGUCUGCAACUCGACUCCAUGAAGUAGGAAUCGCUAGUAAUCGCGGAUCAGAAUGCCGCGGUGAAUACGUUCCCGGGCCU